GACGAACCGUGCGAACGUUGUUCGGAUUCACUGGGCUUAAAGGGCGCGUAGGCGGCGGAUCCAGUCGGGGGUGAAAGCUUCCCGCCCAACGGGAAAAGGGCCUCCGAUACUGAUUCGCUCGAGGGGGGUAGGGGCAUGCGGAACUAAUGGUGGAGCGGUGAAAUGCGUAGAUAUCAUUAGGAACGCCGGUGGCGAAAGCGGCGUGCUGGACCCCUUCUGACGCUGAGGCGCGAAAGCCAGGGGAGCAAACGGG
rnacentral:rRNA from 1 species